UGAACGCUCGCUACAGGCUUCCCACAUGCCAGUCGAGGGGAAACGACAUCGAAAGCUUGCUUUUGAUGGGCGUCGACCGGCGCACGGGUGAGUAACGCGUAUCCAACCUGCCCAUCACUUGGGAAUAACCUUGCGAAAGUAAGACUAAUACCCAAUGAUAUCCCACGAAGGCAUCGGAAUGGGAUUAAAGAUUUAUCGGUGAUGGAUGGGGAUGCGUCUGAUUAGCUUGUUGGCGGGGUAAUGGCCCACCAAGGCAACGAUCAGUAGGGGUUCUGAGAGGAAGGUCCCCCACAUGGGAACGGAGACACGGUCCAAACUCCUACGGGAGGCAGCAGUGAGGAAUAGUGGUCAAUGGGCGAGAGCCUGAACCAGCCAAGUAGCGUGCAGGAAGACGGCCCUAUGGGUGGUAAACUGCUUUUAUAAGGGAAUAAAGUGGGUCACGUGUGACUUUUUGCAUGUACCUUAUGAAUAAGGACCGGCUAAUUCCGUG
rnacentral:rRNA from 1 species